GAACACUUCAAAUUUAUUUUCGACCCAAUCGAGAUCGCAACCGGUCAUCGUCACUGUACGAGAGGGUAAAAUGCGCGUUUUGUUGCUUUCGCUGUUCUUAAUUUGCGGAGCUUUUCUUUCCCAUGGAAGACUUUACCGCUUGAUAGUUAAAACCGCGCGCGCAUCAUUUGCCGGCAACUGAUGCUGUAAUCCGAAUCCGAAUUCAAGGCACCCGAGGCGACUUGAAAGAAAGAGUAAUAAACGGGAGAUUUGAACAAGAUGGAACUGACCUCAUUGAUAUCUACGACUAUGACAUUGGAUACAUCAAGGGAGUGGAUAUUAAGCGGAAUAAUGCUGGGUUUUUGCCGGACUGGAAACUUGACAAG